rnacentral:rRNA from 1 species
GUGACUGCGUACCUUUUGUAUAAUGGGUCAGCGACUUAUAUUCUGUAGCAAGGUUAACCGAAUAGGGGAGCCGAAGGGAAACCGAGUCUUAACUGGGCGUUAAGUUGCAGGGUAUAGACCCGAAACCCGGUGAUCUAGCCAUGGGCAGGUUGAAGGUUGGGUAACACUAACUGGAGGACCGAACCGACUAAUGUUGAAAAAUUAGCGGAUGACUUGUGGCUGGGGGUGAAAGGCCAAUCAAACCGGGAGAUAGCUGGUUCUCCCCGAAAGCUAUUUAGGUAGCGCCUCGUGAAUUCAUCUCCGGGGGUAGAGCACUGUUUCGGCAAGGGGGUCAUCCCGACUUACCAACCCGAUGCAAACUGCGAAUACCGGAGAAUGUUAUCACGGGAGACACACGGCGGGUGCUAACGUCCGUCGUGAAGAGGGAAACAACCCAGACCGCCAGCUAAGGUCCCAAAGUCAUGGUUAAGUGGGAAACGAUGUGGGAAGGCCCAGACAGCCAGGAUGUUGGCUUAGAAGCAGCCAUCAUUUAAAGAAAGCGUAAUAGCUCACUGGUCGAGUCGGCCUGCGCGGAAGAUGUAACGGGGCUAAACCAUGCACCGAAGCUGCGGCAGCGACACUAUGUGUUGUUGGGUAGGGGAGCGUUCUGUAAGCCUGUGAAGGUGUACUGUGAGGUAUGCUGGAGGUAUCAGAAGUGCGAAUGCUGACAUAAGUAACGAUAAAGCGGGUGAAAAGCCCGCUCGCCGGAAGACCAAGGGUUCCUGUCCAACGUUAAUCGGGGCAGGGUGAGUCGACCCCUAAGGCGAGGCCGAAAGGCGUAGUCGAUGGGAAACAGGUUAAUAUUCCUGUACUUGGUGUUACUGCGAAGGGGGGACGGAGAAGGCUAUGUUGGCCGGGCGACGGUUGUCCCGGUUUAAGCGUGUAGGCUGAUUUUCCAGGCAAAUCCGGAAAAUCAAGGCUGAGGCGUGAUGACGAGGCACUACGGUGCUGAAGCAACAAAUGCCCUGCUUCCAGGAAAAGCCUCUAAGCAUCAGGUAACAUCAAAUCGUACCCCAAACCGACACAGGUGGUCAGGUAGAGAAUACCAAGGCGCUUGAGAGAACUCGGGUGAAGGAACUAGGCAAAAUGGUGCCGUAACUUCGGGAGAAGGCACGCUGAUAUGUAGGUGAAGCGACUUGCUCGUGGAGCUGAAAUCAGUCGAAGAUACCAGCUGGCUGCAACUGUUUAUUAAAAACACAGCACUGUGCAAACACGAAAGUGGACGUAUACGGUGUGACGCCUGCCCGGUGCCGGAAGGUUAAUUGAUGGGGUUAGCGGUAACGCGAAGCUCUUGAUCGAAGCCCCGGUAAACGGCGGCCGUAACUAUAACGGUCCUAAGGUAGCGAAAUUCCUUGUCGGGUAAGUUCCGACCUGCACGAAUGGCGUAAUGAUGGCCAGGCUGUCUCCACCCGAGACUCAGUGAAAUUGAACUCGCUGUGAAGAUGCAGUGUACCCGCGGCAAGACGGAAAGACCCCGUGAACCUUUACUAUAGCUUGACACUGAACAUUGAGCCUUGAUGUGUAGGAUAGGUGGGAGGCUUUGAAGUGUGGACGCCAGUCUGCAUGGAGCCGACCUUGAAAUACCACCCUUUAAUGUUUGAUGUUCUAACGUUGGCCCGUUAUCCGGGUUGCGGACAGUGUCUGGUGGGUAGUUUGACUGGGGCGGUCUCCUCCUAAAGAGUAACGGAGGAGCACGAAGGUUGGCUAAUCCUGGUCGGACAUCAGGAGGUUAGUGCAAUGGCAUAAGCCAGCUUGACUGCGAGCGUGACGGCGCGAGCAGGUGCGAAAGCAGGUCAUAGUGAUCCGGUGGUUCUGAAUGGAAGGGCCAUCGCUCAACGGAUAAAAGGUACUCCGGGGAUAACAGGCUGAUACCGCCCAAGAGUUCAUAUCGACGGCGGUGUUUGGCACCUCGAUGUCGGCUCAUCACAUCCUGGGGCUGAAGUAGGUCCCAAGGGUAUGGCUGUUCGCCAUUUAAAGUGGUACGCGAGCUGGGUUUAGAACGUCGUGAGACAGUUCGGUCCCUAUCUGCCGUGGGCGCUGGAGAACUGAGGGGGGCUGCUCCUAGUACGAGAGGACCGGAGUGGACGCAUCACUGGUGUUCGGGUUGUCAUGCCAAUGGCACUGCCCGGUAGCUAAAUGCGGAAGAGAUAAGUGCUGAAAGCAUCUAAGCACGAAACUUGCCCCGAGAUGAGUUCUCCCUGACUCCUUGAGAGUCCUGAAGGAACGUUGAAGACGACGACGUUGAUAGGCCGGGUGUGUAAGCGCAGCGAUGCGUUGAGCUAACCGGUACUAAUGAACCGUGAGGCUUAACC